AGAGAUUGUGGGUGGGAAGCGAAAGGCAGUCACAAACAGUAGAUUGUUUUGACUUACCCUUGUCGGUCGGGUAGUUUACAAGUUUUCAGCCAAUCGAACUUCUCUUUUUUUAUAGUAAAGAAAAACUUUCAUCACACAAUCUUUUCUUUUUAGUACAGUGGUCAAGUUCUGUAAGAACUGUCACUACACUAAACACACUAUCCCAAUCCGUCCUCCGAAAAACUUUAAAUAUUCUUUCUAGACCAAGUGGUUAGUCUGAUUUUUUUCUUUUUAUUUAUUAUUACUUCGAGCUAGUGGUUUUCUUACUGACUGCCUAACAGCUGAUGGGACGGGACAUUUAUCACAUUCCGUCGUGAUUGUAAUAUAUAUAUAUAUAUAUAAUCCCUAUGUUGUUUAGUUAGCUUUUUCUUUUAUUAAUUUACAUUUGUGAACAGUAGAAAAGAAGGAUAAACUAAAGGAAAAGAAAAGGAAAGAAAAGAAAAAGAUAGAGAAAGAAAAAAUACCGGACAAGUGAAAAGGCUCGUAUGUUGUUUUUAUUUGGACUACCAAGCGAAAUAAGUGUUUAUUAAAAAGGAAAAGAAACGGAAGCACUUUUAUUAAGCAAAGUGUCCUGCUCCUCUUUAUUCACGUCACUUUUUAAAAUUUUCUGUUGUUAUUCAUGUGGUGGUUAAUUGGGUCAGAAUAGAAUUUCAGAGAAAUUUCACAGAUUCAAGAUUCACAACUAACCAACCAACCAACUCACAAAAUUAAUAAGUAAUAUACACUUCCCAGUGUAUAUAAAAGAACAAAGGAGGAAUUCUUUUUUCCUCUGUUGCUUUGACCCUCCUCAUUGAAUUAAAUUGGAUUGACUUCUUCAAUGUGCUCAUUACCUUCUAUCAACUAUAAUAUUCAGAACAGUGUUGAUCAUCAGUGCUGACUGGCACUAACAAUGCAAUUCUUAUUACUUCUAUUGGGUUGUUUUUUCCUUGCAAAAGGAUCAUUGUCUUCGCUCCUCUCCUUUAAGGCUGGAUAUGGAAAACUCUCCAAAAUUUCUAUAAAUUCCAGAACAAAUGAUGUGUAUGUUGGUGGUAUCAAUGGAAUUUAUCAUUUAGAUCAUGAGCUGAGAGUAAUGCAAUCUUUGAAUAUUAAAUCUAUGUCAAAUUCAGCUGUCAACAACACUGUAACUGUUUUAGCAAUUGAACCAAAUUUUGAAUAUCUUUUUGUUUGUGGAACAAUAAAAAAAGGAGCUUGCACAUUUCACAAUUUGGAUGAUAUCACUAAGAAAUCAGUCACCUCUGACACCAGAAAUGCAAGUCUUAUUGGAAACCAAAAAUCUGUUGUGGCAUUUUUUGAAAAAUCUCAGACAAGCGUUCCUUACAUGUAUGUAGCUAUGGCUUAUGAUGGCCGUGCAAUUUCCGAUUAUCCAUUUACAAUAUCCGAACGUAAAAUUCAAAGAAAUCUUCAAUAUCAUAAGAUUUCUUUCAGGAAUAACUUGAAAUAUGUUAUGGCUAACAGAAAUAUCUCAGUUGAGUUCAUCUAUGGGUUCAAAUAUAGCAAUUUUAUUUUCUAUGUUUCUGUAAGGAACAAUGAUUCAACGUACCUCCUGCGAGUUUGUGAAGAAGAUGAGAAUUAUUAUUACAUUGAAAUUAAACUUUACUGUUGGCUUAGUGACUACAAAAUUCAAUAUAGCACUGCUGCUCGCUUUACCUACCUUGAAGGGAAACCAGUGCUGUUGGUGGCCUACUGGAGUGAAGAACACAAGAGAUCAGCUGUUUGUGAACAUAGCAUGACUGAGGUGAAAUGGAAAAUUAUGCAAACAAUAUCAAGUUGUAGUAAAAACAGCCAUGAAUUUCCAAAGUACUCACCUUGGGUUAUUACUGAUGAAUACUGUUCAGAAGUGGCGCACGAUGGUAUCACAGAGGAAACAUGUGGUAUUGCUGACAACGUGUACAUUUCUAGAAAAAUGCCGAUGGCAGAGUCAGCUUCAUUCAAUCUAUCCACUUACAUAACUGCUAUACAACUCUAUACCGCGGAGCACCGCCCAGUUUAUCUUCUUGGAACAAAAGAUGGUCAUUUACUGAAAAUUAGAAAAACUACUCCAGAAAAUAUGUUUCACAUUGUAAUGGAUUAUGAUGUGAGUGAAGGAAGUGGUCAUCCAAUUGAAAGGGACCUCGAAUUAAUAGGGAACAAAACAGCUUAUGUGCUAAGUGGUUCUAAGGUGACUCGAUUUCCACUCGUCUCCUGUAGUGUUUAUUCAAGUUGUCGAACCUGUGUAACAGCAAACGAUGUUAUAAAAUGUGGCUGGUGUAAGAAUAAGUGCACAACACACUCUGCAUGCAAGGAAAUUGCAUGGUAUCCCGAUUUCUGUAAACCUGUUAUAACAUCUAUUUAUCCAAAAUCCGGUCCAUUUGAGGGCAAAACAGUCUUGACCAUCAAAGGUGAUUAUUUCACCAAUAAAAAUGAUGAAAAUGCUCACAUUCAGGUCCAUAUCAAAGACAAAGAAUGUACUGUACUACAAUAUAACGAGACAAUGAUUAAAUGCCUGACUCAGAAGCAGAAAGAUAAUGUAAGCAGUAUUCACGUAACAGCAAAAGCACUCAGUAAAGUGUCAAAUCAACCAAACAUCAAUGGACAAAAUAGCAGCGACGAAUUUUUCUAUUUCUAUAAGCCAGAAAUCUAUAAUUUUACUCCAAAAUUUGGACCUAAAUCUGGUGGCACAAAAUGUACUAUCACUGGAACCAAGCUAAAUAUUGGAUCUUCUGCAACUGUUAUGAUAGCGUCAAGAAAUUUCACAAUUGUAAAACGAACAGAUACUGAAAUCAUUGCCAAAACACCGUCAGUUGACUUUCUAGGUCAAGGCAGCCUAAGAGUCAUUAUUGAUGGCAGUAACAUGAAGCAACCUGAUGGAUUCACCUAUACAGAAGACCCAACAAUUUCUCAUGUUAACUCAACACACAGCAUCCAGAGUGGUGGCAUAAAUAUAGAAUUUUCUGGCACAAAUUUAAAUACUGUAAGAGAACCAAGGCUGAGUGGCAUUACUGUGGAAUCAAAGCAGCCGUUGUCUACAGAGCCAUGUCACUCAAACAAAGAAGGAACUUGGUUAUACUGCAAAAGUCCUAAGAUACCUGGUAUAAGUACAAAGCAAAUAAUACCUGUGGAUACUCAUUUACUCAUGGAUGGAGUUGUUGACCUCUACAACUUAUCAACAACAAAGCCAAUGAUAAGUCGAUUCCGUUACUAUCCUGAUCCUAUUAUCAAACGAUUCUCUGGAGAUAAUAAUGUCUUUGAAUAUUGUACAAGUGCAAAAGAAGUUGAAAUAAAGGGUACAAACAUAACUCUAGUUGCUAGAUCAAAUGACAUAAACAUAACAAUUGAUGGCAGAAUUCCUUGUAAAAUCACUAAGUUGGCACUAUCUUUCAUAAAAUGUGUCCCUCAAAACAUGCCUUCCAGAAAUGUCACCAAAAAAUUCAAAUUAGAUGUGAAGGUUUAUAUUGGCUACUUAAGUUAUGAAGUUGGCUGGUUGCUUUAUGUUGACACCAAAUCCAUCUUUACCAGUGCCACUGUCAUUGCAUUGAUUGUCGCCUUGUGUGUGAUUCUCAUCCUUAUUGCUGUCACCUGUUACUGUCUUUGGAAGAAAAAGGUAUUCUCUAAAAAACGCCAAAUCCCACAUACAGCUCGUUAUUUCAAUGGUGGUGAGGUGUCCCUUGAUGCAUUUGGUAGGUUGCUUCCAACAACAACAAAUGAGUAUACAGAGCGACAAGACUCACCUGGGGCCACAACCUAUGCCACAGGAGCUACAAGUGGAAUACCACUCAUUGAUGAGGAUACUUUUCUUCUCCUCAAAGACCAAAAACUUCUCAUACCAAAGGAAGCACUUUUGAUGAAAGAUAAAAUUGGUCAAGGACAUUUUGGUUGUGUUCACCGAGCGUUCCUCUUUAAACCUGGAGAAAAGGGAGAAAGCCUUGUUGCAGUAAAAACACUUCAUAAAGAUAACCCCCGAGAAAUUGAUGUGAAAGCAUUCUUAACAGAAGCCAUAAUUAUGAAAGACUUUGAUCAUGAAAACAUCUUAUCACUGAUUGGAAUCUGUCUUGGUAAAGACCAAAUGCCUCUUGUUGUGCUUCCAUACAUGUUACAUGGUGACCUACUAUCAUAUCUUCGAGAUGUUAACAACCAACCAACCAUUAAAGAUCUCAUUGUCUUUGGCAUCAGUAUUGCAUCGGGGAUGGACUAUUUAUCUGGUUUAAAGUUUGUCCAUAGAGAUCUCGCAGCACGGAAUUGUAUGCUUGAUGAAAAACUUGUGGUAAAAGUUGCAGAUUUUGGUCUUUCUCGAGAUAUUUAUGAACGAGACUACUAUAGCAGUGAUAAUAAGAAAUCAAAACUUCCCGUAAAAUGGAUGGCGCUAGAAAGUUUGGAAACAGGAAACUAUAACAUAAAAACAGAUGUUUGGUCGUAUGGUGUAGUUUUGUGGGAGUUGUUCACCCGAGGAGUAAACCCUUAUCCAACCGUUGAUAACUGGGACAUGCCCAAGUUCUUAAAAUCUGGCCGCAGAAUGGACAAACCAGACUAUUGUCCUAGUAAAACGUAUGAAAUCAUGUUACGGUGCUGGCAAGUAGACCAAAACUUAAGGCCUGAUUUUGCAACUAUCGUAGACGAACUCACCGAAUUAAGUCAAAUUGAAAAACAUGGAGACAUAGCCAUCAGUCAAAUAAUGUGCUAUGAGAAUGUAAAUUUUGCUUUGAAUAACAACAUCAAACCAACAGUUGUAUGAUUGGAACUAAGAUGAUCAAAAUAUAACUCUCAACCAGAAUGUGUGACCUUAUUUUUUCCCCCUCAAGGACAGUAAAAUGCCUUUUGAUAUUAUUUUAACCAAGCAAUAUUUUUUUUAACGAACAUAAAAAAUUUUGUGGUUUUAAUUAUUGAAUGGCUCUUAAAUAUACAUCCCUGAAUAGAGGUUCUAUGAAAUUUGUUCCCUUACAAAUAAUCAUCUAGGAUCCUUUUCAACAAUGUUUGUAUAUGAGAGAGAGAGAGAGAGAAAGAGAGAAUGUGUGUAUUAGUUAUGUCGACCACAUCUACUGAUCUUAUUUUCUUCCCACAAGAUCUGAAGUGCGUGUGUUUGUGUUUGUGUGUGUGUGUGUGUUGUAGGUACGUGCAUGAAUAUCUGUUUGUGUGUGAAUGUUCUUUUUUUUUAUUUAGACUGGGAAAAAAGAGGGUAUUUUAUGACCAUAGUUUUUGUAUAUCCACCCACCUAGACUAGAAAGGUAGACUUCUCUAGGUUGAUAUCUAUAGAGAGUUUCAGAGGGCUGCAGUUCUGGGAAGGUAAGUAAUAGGCAAAUUGUUUGUUACAUGAUCUAGAAAGUGAGAUACAGUAGAAGGUGAUACAAAGAGGAAAGACUGAUUCAUCAGGUGUUCUGUUUCUCAGUAGCUACUUUCUCAGUGGCAGGAUUAUAAAGAAAAAUUAGAAGAGAUUUAAAGCAUAGUCAAAUAACUCAUGGUGCCAAGUUCAAAUCUUGCUUGUGGCAAAAAUUGCCUUCUGUCAUUUUCUAAAAAAAACCAAUACAUUCAUGAUCUGAAUAGUUUAAGAUAACUGAGUCAUAAAUGGGACGGCUAUGAUAUGUAAUGUCUGUGUAUUUAAAAGAGGAUAUUAUUCCUUUGCACCCUUUUAUUUUUACUUUUUAAAUCAAAUCUGCUUUAUAAACAAAUUGGUUGCUUGUUCAACCACCAGGUCACAUGUCUGGAAUUCAAACCCACUGCAGUUAUUUUGUUUUAGAACUGAAAUAAUUUCUAAUUUUAUGCACUUGAAAUAUUGUCAAGAAUAAUUAGAUUCUUUUUGGAAUGUUAUCUAUGACAGCCUGGCAUUUUAUCUCGGAAAAAAUUUUAUUUCUCAACAGUUAAUGCAAUGAAACUGGACUUAAACAUUGUUCCUCGUGAAGGAUUUUGUUGACAAAGUAUUAUGAAGGAACGGUGUUUGUUAAACUGUGUUAGCAAAAAUUAUAACUGUCUUUAUUCAGUUAACUAUUUCCCUAUAUAACAUAAGUGCCUUUUUUUAUCUUAAUAUAAUAAGGAGAUGAAGAUGUUUUAGUUUCUACUCAUAACAUAAAUGUCUUCCUGCUUUAAUAUAGUAAGGUGAUAGAAACAGUCAAGAUAGCAGAAUGCCAGACUGGAUUUUUGACCAUAACUGUUGUUUGUUCAAAUCCUGACAAUCGCAUAUGCCUUUCAGUCUUUGGAUUCCUGUCUUUAGAUCCCUGGUAAUAAUCAGUUACAAUAAUGCAGUUUAGCCUCUAUGAGUAAAAGUAAAACUGCUUUUGGGGUUUUUUUUAAUACUUGAAAGUG